rnacentral:rRNA from 1 species
GACAAAGGAAGCAAUUCCGAGUCAAUUCAAAUGAGUUAGAUGAAAAAAUAGCAAACGAGAAGCAAGUGGAGGGCAAGUCUGGUGCCAGCAGCCGCGGUAAUACCAGCUCCACUAGCAUAUGUUAAAGUUGCUGCAGUUAAAACGCUCGUAGUUGGGAUAAAAAGAAGGAGAAAGCAACGAGAAAAUAAGAAAUUGUUUUUUCAUUGUUUUUUCUUUCGUUUUUAAUUUAUUUGGUGAAUUGAGGUAAUUGAGUUUGCCUUGUCACCGUAUCACCUUGAACAAAGCAUGUCGCUCAAAAUGGGGUCUUCAGACAAGGAGUGUUGAGCAUGGAAUGAGAGAAUAUGAGAAGGAAAAAAAGAAGAGAGUGAUCUUGGAGGUUUUUCUUUCUAAUGGCAAAUGGGAAUUAUAGGAGGAAGUUCGUAUUAUAAAGCUAGAGGUGAAAUUCUUGGAUUUUUAUAAGACGAACUAAGGCGAAGGCAUUCUUCAACGG